GUGGUGUUAAUCUUCCCCAACGACAUUUUGUACUACAUUUUCAUUCCUAAUUUUGGAAAAAUAUCCUAUUUCUGUACUCAACACAAUUUAUCUUGAGUGAUUUCUCAAUAUAUAUUUUUUUAAAUCAUAAACAUGCAAAAUUGUUUGAUUAUUUGCAGGUAAAACGAUUAAAAGUUAAUUAUUUUUAUUUUUUGUAUAAUCUUCAAACAAGUCAUGGGAGUCUAUGCAAAAUACAUGUUCAAAGAAUACACUAAAAUGACAGAAGACCCAACAGUUGUGCCUUAACUGAUGAAUUAUCAUACCGUAAUGAUUGUGUACCCCCUUGCACCGGAUAUUGAUGUUUGUGAUAACAAUGAUUGAAACAGGUGUAUCGGUUAUGGCGAUAUUACCAGAAUAUAAUAAAAUAUCUCACAAAGGAGCUGCUUUACCAUUCAAUAUUUAUAGCUUAUGUUGUUUCUU
rnacentral:lncRNA from 1 species